rnacentral:rRNA from 1 species
UGUCGUCAGCUCGUGUCGUGAGAUGUCGGCUUAAGUGCCAUAACGAGCGCAACCCUCAUCAUUAGUUACCAUCAGGUUAAGCUGGGGACUCUAAUGAGACUGCCAUCGUAAGAUGUGAGGAAGGUGGGGAUGACGUCAAAUCAGCACGGCCCUUACGUCCGGGGCGACACACGUGUUACAAUGGGUGGUACAAAGGGCAGCUACACAGCAAUGUGAUGCUAAUCUCAAAAACCAUUCUCAGUUCGGAUCGAAGUCUGCAACUCGACUUCGUGAAGCUGGAUUCGCUAGUAAUCGCGCAUCAGCCACGGCGCGGUGAAUACGUUCCCGGGA